GGCCAACCCAGGGGAGCUCAGGUGCAUGCAAUGUACUUGAGUAACAAGAAGGGGUGGUGCCAGGAUCCACCCCUUCCCAGACCUCAUUUAAGGGUUGGCAGGGGGAAAGAUAAGGGUAUCUUUCAUGAGAUCCUUGUUUAUUGGAGGCCUUCUAAAGUUCCUGUUCGGCCCACUGCUUCCUUCAGGAGGAAUCACUGGUGAAUACUUGAGCUGAAUGGCUCGUUCCAAACAACAUGCUUUAUCAGCUUACUAUCUGCAACAACUCUGAGCCAUGCCCAUUGUAUACCAAGGUGCUUACAACCAGUGUCCAAGACAGUACAUAGCAGCUUUGGGAUGAGACUGCAUAUUAAUCAUGCUUUCCACAAAAUCUUGAAAUAAUAAUGCUUAUGGCAGCUAUCAGAACUGUCUCCAGUUUUUCAGCACCACUUCAACGAGAUCCAUUGAAAAGGGACAGUACUGGUAUGUGUUGAUACCAGUGUAGCAACUCUGGGAAGGAUGUUUUAAGGAGGCCCAUGAGAUGGGUGGAAAUUCACUGAAGUGAAGACAGUGUGGCUCUCUUGACUUUAUUCCUCCAUUUGGGUGGUCCAGGAGAUUUGGCAUGGGUACAAAAGGGAGUAUGUUUGUUGUGGUUUUGUCAGAUACACCCUUUUCAACAAAUUUCCCUUAUAACAGUAAAGCAGGAUACUAGAAAUGGGGGCUGUUAGCUGAGAAACUGUUAUUGCUGCAACCUCAUUUGUUUUCUUUAGUAUAGCCUCCUGAUGUAUUCAGUAUUCAGAGCUGCUUUCCAGUCAGACAGCCUUUGUUAGUCCAGCUCCUGGUUGACAAGUGCUUAAAAAAGUCAACUUAUCAAUAAAAUCCUCAGCCAAGCUCCAAAUGAGCAUCUGGCACUGGUUGUUCAGAUGUGCCUGUGAACAACAACAAGCUACAGGAAAGACAAGCUACUACUCAGAUGUUAUUUUUUUGGCAAUGGGAUUUGCUGUAUUAUUUCUCUGCUGUGCUAGCUGAGGGUCCGCCUUUUGCUUUCUAGCCUCCUUGCUUCAAUGCCAGGCUGGUGGACAUAUAGCACAGGUUAAAACUAGAGCUCUUAAGUAAUGUGAUAUUUUCUUUCGUCCUGUUUAAUAAGUGACCUUGUUGGUGCCAUUUCAUAUAAAGCAGAAUGAAAACCACAAGUUCUAGAAAUGCAGUAAUUCCAGCAAUGACACAAAGAAUGAUCUGCUUUGUUGUCUUAUUGACUAUCAAUGUGGUGAAAAUGCUGUUCCGCAGUAUCUAGUUCAUUAUUUUCUGUUGUUUUUGUUUUUUGUACAUGUUUUUAACUAACAUUAAGCAAAAUGAGCAUUGUGGAACAAACCAUCCAUACAGGCUAUGCCAUAAUUACUGUUUAGCAAUUUCACACUAGCAAAAGUUUAUUAAAACUUCACGACUCAUUAAUAGUAAGUGAUCAUAAUAGCAUAAUAGAAAAGGAAACUGAGCUAAUGAUAGAAGUGCUGAUUAAUGUUUUUGACCUUAAGACAUGAAGUCAAGUGAAAUUAAUGUCACUGGGUGUUGAAAGUUUAUUUUCAAGUGUCGAUGGUCUGUAAUCCACCAAGGAGCCCCUCUGACUACACAAAUUUUAUGUUCCUCAGCAGAAAAAUAUUCUAUACCAAGUGGCAUUUUUAAUAACCUUACUACUGCAUUUCAAGUAAGUGCAAGGCUGUCUCAUUUAUUAUCAGAAUUGGUAAAGCAUAUGUUAUCGAAACAUGCAUAUAUACGAUUGCUUCAGAAGGAAAUCUCAGCAGUGCUUCAUGUGUUAGCAACCAAGGGCUGUUACAUACAGGUGGUUGUUUUUUGGGGUUAUUUAUUUAUUUUGUCAAUAGGCUUUCUUUUACAAGAUCAGGUUCAAGUAGUAUUCAAGAGGCUAUUAGAGUAUAGCUCACCAGCCAGCUCUCUGAUCAUGUCUGACACUUGAGCACCAGUGAGCCUAAUAUGACAACUGUUCCCACAGCCAAUGGUGUGCUGGAGCAUCUUCCUCAGCCUAACAUCUGCUUUUGAUGCCCUAUGGGGCUGUAGCAAGUGAUGAUAUUUGAGGAACUGCAAGAGUUCCACUAGGAACCUUUGUGAGGGACUUCUGGUUAGGUCCAUGUGGCUGUGUGAUGUCUGUGUAGACAUCAAUGUGUGAGAAGUUACAACGCCUGAGGCAAUUUGUGUGCCAGAUUGUGAGUGGGGAAGCUUCCUGCUUGGGCAGCCAGUCCUUGUUUACAUGCGCUUCAUUCUUUGGGUGUAAUGGGACACUUAUUUAAAUUAGUCACAGUGCGAUGCCAUUGUUCUUCAGCACCUUGUACUAAAUUUGAGAGGAUGAAGGUUCUGGAGCUUCUCAUAAACCGGUCUAAUAUUGUUCCUGUGCAGAAGUUGAAGCAAGGUACCUGAGUCUUUCUAUCAGGAAGGUAGACUGUUUCUAAAUACCAACUCAAGUUCCCAGCAUGCAAAAAGUCAUUUUUAAUAAUCUUGCUUUGGUUACUGUAGGUACAAUUCCCUUGAUGGGCAGAACAAGCAAUAAAGUUUCUUACAGGUACAAGCAGAUGCCUGGUUAAGUGUUAGCAGGCUCCAAGUUCAGUUAACAUAAAUCAAAGUCAUCUCGGGAAGGACAAUCCUGUUGUAAUAAUGUCACUCAAUAUUUAGCCUACCUACACUUGUAUUAAUAAUAAAGCCCUCGGGUAGGGAGCAACACACAGCCAUUGAUCAGCACAGAGCUCAGCGCUGCACUAUUGACAAGUAUUGUUUUGGAGGCAAACAAAGACUGAGCUGCAUUUAUAGCCACUGGAUUCUGCCCUCUGCCAAACAGGCGAGCAUCGCUGGUCAGCCAAGUUAAUGCUGUGUUAAUGAUGCCUUAAGCCUCGCCAAUUCAGGAUGAAGCCAGCAGUUAUUUGGUAAUAUAGACUUGUUCUUUCAUUUUGGUUUUUAUGUUUGUAUCUGAGUGUGUGUGUGACGUACCCAUCUGCCUCUCUAUGAUGAUUUCUAUUGAUGUCUCCUUUGAACAGAAGAGGGAUGUGGCAAACCUGCAAGCCCAGAGAAAAAUGUCAUCUGUGUAGUUAACCUUACUGAUGGUGUUGGUUCUUUUUAUGUUGAAAGUAUAUACUAUAGCAAUUCAGAAGUUAGAAUGCCAGGUCCUUCCAAAGCAAUUGACUACCAGUCUUUAUUUUUUAAAGCUACACAGUGUGGUUUUGUGGGUUUGGUUUUUUUGGGGGGGUUGAUGUGGUUUGAUUUUUGUUGUGUUGGUUUUUUGUGGGCAUGUUGUAGGUUUUCUUUUAAUAAAGACUGUGAAUUAUAUUCUCACAUAUUCUCUAGCACCGUCUGACAAACCAAGUAAGCAAAACCAACUAAACUAAAACCUUCUGCAGCAGUACAUUGGAGUAAUGUUUCCCAGCUCUACUUUGGCAUGUUCCUGGCUGUUGCUGUGCAAUUUUCUGUAAUUAAUAUUGUUUAAAAAAAAAAAAAAAAAAAGGCAGUGGAGAAUUAGGGGUUGCAAUUUUAUAUUCAAGCACAGAAAGAGACAUGCAUAUCACAAGAAUAAGUGGUUGUUUUCUUUUUUUGUUUUGUUUUGUUACCAAAAAAUUGUUUCAGGAAAUGAUGUUCCUGUAUCUGAAUGUAAAACAGAAUCCAGCAUGAAAAAGACAAUAACACAGACAGGUUUUGUUGCCAACAGAAUCUGCACAAGUGUGGGGGCUGGCUGAUUGCUUGGGCAGAGCGCUUUGGAGAGCAGCGAUGGCUCAUGGACAAGUGGCUGAGACCACCUCUUAAAAUCUGUGUCAUAGAAUAACUCAGGUUGGAAAAGACCUUGAAAAUCAGAGAGUCUAAACACAACCUAACUAAGCUACCAUGACUCUAACAACCCUCUGCUGGAUUGUGUCCCUGAGCACCGCAUCCAAAUGGUUUUUAAAUACAUCCAGGGAUGGUGACUCUACCACCUCACAGGGAGCCCGUUCCAGUGCUUAACAUCCCUUUCCAUAAAGAAGUUUUUCCUGAUUGUGGCCAGACCUUCUCUGUUAACAAACAGCAGGUCCAGGAUUUUGUUUCCCCUUGUUGGCUCCUUCACCAUCUGCGACAGGAACUUAUCAUCUCCCACACACUCUAGGAACCUCCAGGAUUAUUCCCUAUUUAUUUGCUGUAUUAUAAAUUCAGCAGAUGUCUGGGAAGUUUAAGUUCCCCCCUCAAGAACAAGGGGAAGAGACCAAGAGACCUCACUUGUCUAUAAAGCGUCUUGUCUACCUCUUCAUCCUUGUUAGGUGGCCUGUAGCAGAUUCCCACAGCAAUACAAGUUUUAUUGGCCUUCACUUUUAUACUGACCCACAAGCUCUCAAUGCUAGCAUCACCAUUAUUAAUUUCCACACGUUCACAUUCUUUCUUAACUACAGGCAGGGAGUGCAGAUUUCCUGGUUCCACUGUCAUCUCAACAACCUGAUGCUAUGAUGCACUUUUGUUUACUGACAACAUAAUGUACAUGUGGAAGAAGGGCGGAGUGGAACGUCACCUUCUGUCUGUGCACCUUCCAGGCAGUCCCAUGGCACUGAGUUACCCAUUUGGCAUUUGCCCAGUAAAAGUGGUUCUGUUGCCAGUAUCAUUCAACUCA